AGGAACUUCAUCAUGAAGUCUCAAGUAAACGAACAUUUUAUCUUUCUUGGGAUUCUAUCACUUCUUAAUGUUUGCCCUUAUAGUGAUUCAGCUGAUUCUCAUUUAAAGUUUUUACACAAAAACAGUUUGGAUUAUAUCUUGAGGUUUUCACUUCAGAUACUGGACAAGUAAUUAGUAUAAAGGCAACUAACAUGGUCAUAAUAGAAGUAUGGUGUUUACUCUCAACAUUUAUCUUCCCAAAGUUGUCUUCAGCAUUGAAAUUUUAAUGUUUGACCUUUUUAAAUAGGAAUGAAGAUUCUAGUUACAAUAUAUAUUUGAAGGAUAUAGGAAGCAUGAUUUCACACUUCAUAGAUAGUCACGUCAUGGGAUUAUCUACAAAAUUUUUUAUCUUUUUAAAAUUAGAUGUUUUCCUAGGCCAAAAUCAUUUUUCAGAUGUUGCUCAUUCCAGCAUUAGAAUCUUUAUUCUGUGGGGUUUUUUAAGUGCCUUUUUGUUUUGUUUUCAGAGAAAGUUUCAUUGUGCAAAUCUAACUUCAUGGCCUCGCUGGCUGUAUUCCUUAUAUGAUGCUGUAAGUAACUUACCUUAAAUUUACUUUAUAUAUGGUAGGCCAUGUCAUAAUUAAGGGUCAUUAAAAAACAAAGGUUUAGUUUUUCCAGUUUCUAGUGCCUUAUAACUUAAGAUAUCGUUAAGAGUGGUGGCUCACACCUGUAAUCCCAGCACUUUGGGAGGCCAAGGCAGGGGGAUUGCUUGAAGCCAGGCAUUCAAGACCAGCCUGGGCAACAUGGUGAAACCCCAUCUCUACAAAUACAAAAAUUAGCCAGGUUUGGUGGCAUGUGGCUGUAGUCCCAGCUGCUUGAGAGGCUGAGGUGGAAGGAUUGAUUGAGCCUGGGAGGUCAAGGCUGCCGUGAGCUGAGAUUGUGUCACUGUACUCCAGCCUGGACAACAGAGCAAGACUGUCUCAAAAGGGAAAAAAAAAGGUAUCACAAGACUCUUUAGAGUUUUAUUAAGCAUGUGAAAUUUUGUUGGGUUGGGUGAUAGUUACAUUUAGAACAUUAAAGCAUCCAUAUUUUACUGUUUUGGUUUUUCUCUAAACAAGUAUAUUAACUUACGUCUCUUGAUCAUUAGUCUAUUAAUUAAUGCAUCCAGGAGGGUUUUUGCUCCUUAAAGUUUAACACUAGGCAUUGCCACAUUUUGCAAAACUAAGGGACAGUGCUGAAAUGGUUUAAAGAAUCUGGAUUUCAGAUCAGAGACUGACUUCAGAGUCUGAUUUCUGUCACUUACUCUGUGGGCCUGGAGCAAAUUACUUCUCCAAGGACCUAUGAAAUGGAUAUAAUGGUAGCUAUUGUACCUGGUGUGCAUAGCGGGCAUUCAAUAAAUGCUAGCCAUUUCCCUUAAUGAAUCACUGCCCACAAAUCUGGAGUCCUGGGAAAACUCAACAACAUGCACGACACUAAAGGAAACUGCAGUUGAUCUCCGCUCUUUAGCAGCUUUUCAGCAAUUACAAAGACACAAUAUAUGAGUUUUUGCAUGUUUUGCAUAUGCUUGUGAAAAUUAUGUAGUAAAUAGGUGCCAAGUAAGGUAUGUAGAUAGCAAGUGCUAGUGCAAUUUAUAGGUGCCAUAAUCCCUAUGGACUGGGUCAGAAAUGGCCUAAUAGAAGGCAGAAGAGAGGCCAGUUCCAAGCAGGGGCAUAGAACAGAACAAUCUGCAAGGGAGUUGGGAGCAUAUACCGCUGGGUUAAGACAGUGAGUGAGAAAAGGCUGGAAGGCAGACAGUGCUGGGCAAAGGAGCUGGAGCUUGAUCAUUGCUGCAUACGAAAAUGGAGGCAUUUAAACUGGGACUGAGAUGGGACUGAGUGAUUAAAUUGCUACCAGUGUUAGUUUUAAGAGUUGAAAAGCUUAAUAGUAAAUUUUAAUAAGCCCAUGAACUUGAUUAUGGCUACCUUUAUUUUAAACAAGGAGACCUUAAUGGACAGAAUCAAGAAACAGCUACGUGAAUGGGAUGAAAAUCUAAAAGAUGAUUCUCUUCCUUCAAAUCCAAUAGGUAUGAAAAGUUAGUUUCCUGCCUGGAGCCUGGGAUGUCUUGCUAUAAAAAAUAGCUUUUUCAUGGAUGCGAUCCAAUCAUAUCUUCUAGGUUUUAAGACUGAUUAAAACAUUUUAAUUCUGAAAAGCAUAAUUUCCUUUGAGCAGUUGAAAAAAAAUGAGUAUUUUAAAAUUAAUUGCAAUAAAAUCCUCAUAUUCUGUGAGCACUCCAAUUUUAGACAAGUUUUCCAUAAAAAGUUCAAAUUGCAGGAAGUGGCUGUCAUCCAAAAACACUUCCUGUGUAAGGACUCCUUUCCCUGUUCUUCAAGGUGCCUUUAAAAGAAGUGAGUCUAGUUCCAGGACUUGCCUUAAUUAUAGAUACUCUCUUUAUCUGUUUAUAAGGUAUAGUUUAGUUAUUUUUCUAGUCUCUUGGCAAAUAACUUCUAACAUGGAUUUGAGUUCAUGUUUAACAUAAAAGGAUUUUACCAAAAAAAGUAUAAGAAAAGCAAUUAAAUUUAGAGCUUCUGAAAAGUGUAUCUUUGACAGCUGGUAUAUUUUUGUAUUGUUUAUACUUGUAUAAAAUGUGUAACCUUAAAGAGAAGGGUUUAUUUCAAAAGGAUAUUAUCCGAUUUGUAAGUUCUCUGAUGCUUAUCUGACUCCUAAGUUUAAAACUUGAAAAACCAUGUCUUGAAGAUUUUUCUUACAGAGUAGCUGCUUGUCUUCCUAUUGAUGAUGUAUUGAGAAUUCAGCUCCUUAAAAUUGGCAGUGCUAUCCAGCGACUUCGCUGUGAAUUAGACAUUAUGAAUAAAGUGAGUAAAGUGAAUAUGUUUUUGAUGCCCAUGUUUUAUUCAGGCUGGAGAACUAGGAUGCUCUGUUGGGGCCAAUGGAGCUCUGUAUAGAGUCCAGUAAUGUAGUCAUGCAAUUCAGAUUUCAAUUGGGAUCUUACAAACAAACUCAUUGUUUUGUGUUUGUCAAAUAUGAAUACAUUUAUCAACUUAGUGAAAAAUAACUUGAUUUCUGCAUGGAAAUAUCCAAGGUUAUAUAUCACUAUUCCUUUACUCUAGAGAAGGUCAUUUAGUUUUAUGUAAAUAUGUGGCAGAUCUCAGUUUCAGUGACUUUCGUGCUCCAUCUUUAAAAGUGUUUUUGAAUGCUUGGAAGGAAAAUGUGAUAUUCAGAGAGAGCAAUAUCUUUAUAAGUAAGUUUCUUGAUGAUCUAUGUGAUUACAUGAUAAAGUGAAUGCCAGUUUUUCCUACCAAUAAUUUUUCUCUCAAAUCUUUUAGUGUACUUCCCUUUGCUGUAAACAAUGUCAAGAAACAGAAAUAACAACCAAAAAUGAAAUAUUCAGUUUAUCCUUAUGUGGGCCGAUGGCAGCUUAUGUGAAUCCUCAUGGAUAUGUGCAUGAGACACUUACUGUGUAUAAGGCUUGCAACUUGAAUCUGAUAGGCCGGCCUUCUACAGAACACAGCUGGUUUCCUGGGUAUGCCUGGACUGUUGCCCAGUGUAAGAUCUGUGCAAGCCAUAUUGGAUGGAAGUUUACGGCCACCAAAAAAGACAUGUCACCUCAAAAAUUUUGGGGCUUAACGCGAUCUGCUCUGUUGCCCACGAUCCCAGACACUGAAGAUGAAAUAAGUCCAGACAAAGUAAUACUUUGCUUGUAAACAGAUGUGAUAGAGAUAAAGUUAUCUAACAAAUUGGUUAUAUUCUAAGAUCUGCUUUGGAAAUUAUUGCCUCUGAUACAUACCUAAGUAAACAUAACAUUAAUACCUAAGUAAACAUAACAUUACUUGGAGGGUUGCAGUUUCUAAGUGAAACUGUAUUUGAAACUUUUAAGUAUACUUUAGGAAACAAGCAUGAACGGCAGUCUAGAAUACCAGAAACAUCUACUUGGGUAGCUUGGUGCCAUUAUCCUGUGGAAUCUGAUAUGUCUGGUAGCAUGUCAUUGAUGGGACAUGAAGACAUCUUUGGAAAUGAUGAGAUUAUUUCCUGUGUUAAAAAAAAAAAAAAUCUUAAAUUCCUACAAUGUGAAACUGAAACUAAUAAUUUGAUCCUGAUGUAUGGGACAGCGUAUCUGUACCAGUGCUCUAAAUAACAAAAGCUAGGGUGACAAGUACAUGUUCCUUUUGGAAAGAAGCAAGGCAAUGUAUAUUAAUUAUUCUAAAAGGGCUUUGUUCCUUUCCAUUUUCUUUAACUUCUCUGAGAUACUGAUUUGUAAAUUUUGAAAAUUAGUUAAAAUAUGCAGUUUUUUGAGCCCACGAAUAGUUGUCAUUUCCUUUAUGUGCCUGUUAGUAAAAAGUAGUAUUGUGUAUUUGCUCAGUAUCUGAACUAUAAGCCCAUUUAUACUGUUCCAUACAAAAGCUAUUUUUCAAAAAUUAAUUUGAACCAAAACUACUACUAUAGGGAAAAGAUGCCAAAACAUGUCCCCUCACCCAGACUAAACUUGAUACUGUAUUAUUUUGUUCAAUGUAAAUUGAAGAAAAUCUGUAAGUAAGUAAACCUUAAGUGUGAAACUAAA
rnacentral:lncRNA from 1 species